CCUACGGGAGGCUGCAGUGGGGAAUCUUGGACAAUGGGGGCAACCCUGAUCCAGCCAUGCCGCGUGUGCGAUGAAGGCCCUCGGGUUGUAAAGCACUUUUGGCGGGGAAUACGAUGAAGGUACCCGCAGAAUAAGUCACGGCUAACUUCGUGCCAGCAGCCGCGGUAAUACGAAGGUGGCGAAUGAUACUCGGAUUUACUGGGCGUAAAGCGUCCGCAGGUGGUUUAUCAAGUCAGGUGUGAAAUCCCCGUGCUCAACAUGGGAACUGCAUUUGA
rnacentral:rRNA from 1 species